UUUCAAAGGAUAGGAAUCGAACCUACAGUUUUUCGCAUACCGGGCAGAUGCCGUGUCCACUAGGCUACCCAGGA